rnacentral:rRNA from 1 species
GAUGAACGCUGGCGGCGUGCCUAAUACAUGCAAGUCGAGCGAACAGACGAGGAGCUUGCUCCUCUGACGUUAGCGGCGGACGGGUGAGUAACACGUGGAUAACCUACCUAUAAGACUGGGAUAACUUCGGGAAACCGGAGCUAAUACCGGAUAAUAUAUUGAACCGCAUGGUUCAAUAGUGAAAGACGGUUUUGCUGUCACUUAUAGAUGGAUCCGCGCCGCAUUAGCUAGUUGGUAAGGUAACGGCUUACCAAGGCGACGAUGCGUAGCCGACCUGAGAGGGGGAUCGGCCCAACCGGGACUGGAGCACCGUCCCGACCCCCACCGGAGGGAGCCGUAGGGAAAUUUCCGGCAUGGGCGAAAGCCUGACGGAGCAACGCCGGGGGAGUGAUGAAAGGCCUCGGAUCGGAAAACCCCGUUAUUAGGGAAGAAAAAAUGUGUAAGUAACUAUGCCCGUCUUUACGGUACCUAAUCAGAAAGCCACCGGCUAACUACGUG